AAUGAACGCUGGCGGCAUGCCUAACACAUGCAAGUCGAACGGCAGCACGGGGAGCGCGCUCUCGUCACGUUGGCGACGGGCGGGUGAGUCAUCCGUACAUCCCCAGCAUCUUGGUCUUGGCUGACGACGGACGGACUCAUACCCUAACACAGCAUAGGUUGAACGGGUGGGAGCAAUAGAUCUUGAGCCCUUGGAUGUCUCGAUGAGCUGAUUCCGUGUCGGAUUAGCUAGUUGGUACGGUAACGGCUUACCAAGGCGACGAUGCGUAGCCGAUCUGAGAGGAUGAUCAGCCACACUGGAACUGAGACACGGUCCAGACUCCUACGGGAGGCAGCAGUGGGGAAUCUUGGACAAUGGGCGCAAGCCUGAUCCAGCCAUGCCGCGUGAGUGAAGAAGGCCUUCGGGUUGUAAAGCGCUUUUGUUGGGGAAGAAAAGCUGUGGGAUAAUACCCCGAUGUUUUGACGGUACCGAAAGAAUAAGCACCGGCUAACUACGUG
rnacentral:rRNA from 1 species